rnacentral:rRNA from 1 species
GCCCUGAAGGGCGUAUGGUGGAUGCCUUGGCAGACAGUACCGAUGAAGGACGUUUGAGGAUG